rnacentral:rRNA from 1 species
GACGGGUGAGUAACACGUGGGUAACCUGCCCUAUAGACCGGCGAUAACUCGCUGGAAACGCGUGCUAAUACCGGAUAACACACCGGCGCGCAUGCUUCGGGGUUGNAAUAGAUGGUUCUUGCUAUCACUAUAGGAUGGGCCCGCGGCGCAUUAGCUAGUUGGUGGGGUCACGGCCUACCAAGGCGAUCGAUGCGUAGCCGACCUGAGAGGGUGAUCGGCCACACUGGGACUGAGACACGGCCCAGACUCCUACGGGAGGCAGCAGUAGGGAAUCUUCCACAAUGGGCGAGAAGCCUGAUGGAGCAACGCCGCGUGAGCGAAGAAGGUCUUCGGAUCGUAAAGCUCU